AUCGGACUUAUUAAUUGCCAAAGCCAGCUGACUGUGCUACACUAAUCUUGUAUUUAAGUUUGAAUUUUGAUUUUGAUUUGUUUUUUUCGGAAGGCGUCAUACCAAAAGAAUCAUAUUUAUAUACAUGACACAGAUGGGAUGAUCCCGAAGGAGAAACAAUCAUGGAAAAAGGCACUGUAAAGUGGUUUAACAGCGAAAAGGGCUACGGCUUCAUUACUCGCGAAAACGGUGAAGAUGUGUUCGCACACUUCUCAGCUAUCCAAGGCGACGGCUUCAAGACUUUGGAAGACGGACAAAACGUAACGUUUGAUGUUGAAAACUCAGACCGCGGUUUGCAAGCUGUAAACAUCGUUAAGGACUAAUUCUUUCAUUAGUUUUAAAAGCUCAGACAUUUGUCUGGGCUUUUUUC
rnacentral:sRNA from 1 species